rnacentral:rRNA from 1 species
CAGUCGCCACGGGAAUACGGAGGGGGCUAGCGUUGUUCGGAAUUACUGGGCGUAAAGCGCACGUAGGCGGCUUGGUAAGUUAGAGGUGAAAGCCCAGGGCUCAACCCUGGAAUUGCCUUUAAGACUGCCGAGCUAGUAGGUGAGAGAGGUAAGUGGAAUUCCGAGUGUAGAGGUGAAAUUCGUAGAUAUUCGGAAGAACACCAGUGGCGAAGGCGGCUUACUGGCUCAUUCUAGACGCUGAGGUGCGAAAGCGUGGGGAGCAAACAGGAUUAGAGACCCCUGUAGUCCCUGUCUCUUAUAC